rnacentral:rRNA from 1 species
UAGUGACGCGCAUGAAUGGAUUAACGAGAUUCCCACUGUCCCUAUCUACUAUCUAGCGAAAUCACAGCCAAGGGAACGGGCUUGGGAAUAUGACUACGGGGAAAGAAGACCCUCCUGAGCUUGAUUCUAGUCUGACUCUGUGAAGAGACAUAAGAGGUGUAGCAUAAGUGGGAGCCGCGCCAUGCUCUCGGGCAGGUCGGCGACAAUGAAAUACCACUACUCUUAUUGUUUCUUUACUUACUCGGUUGUACGAAAGGCGGCCUUUCGGGGCCAAUUUUCUGGUGCCAAGUGCACGCGAAUGUGUUGCAUAAUUCGCUCCGAGGACACUGUCAGGUGAGGAAUUCGUCUGGGGCGGAACAUCUGUCAAAACGUAACGCAGGUGUCCCAAGGUGAGCUCAGCUAGGACAGAAACCUAGCGUAGAGUAAAAGGGCAAAAGCUCACUUGAUCUUGAUUUUCAGUACAAAUACAGACUGCGAAAGCAGGGCCUAUAGAUCCUUUUGUUUUAAGAGUUUUAAGCAAGAGGUGCCAGAAAAGUUACCACAGGGGCAACUGGCUUGUUGCGACCAAGCGUUCAUAGCGACGUCGCUUAUUGNUUCUUCGAUGUCGGCUCUUCC